AACAAGGAUUCCCCUAGUAACUGCGAGUGAAGCGGGAAGAGCUCAAAUUUCGAAUCUGGCGGUCUCUGGCCGUCCGAGUUGUAAUCUAGAGAAGCGUUUUCCGCGCUGGACCGUGUAUAAGUCUCCUGGAAGGGAGCGUCGUAGAGGGUGAGAAUCCCGUCUUUGACACGGACUACCAGUGCUAUGUGAUGCGCUCUCGACGAGUCGAGUUGUUUGGGAAUGCAGCUCAAAUCGGGUGGUAAAUUCCAUCUAAAGCUAAAUAUAGGCGAGAGACCGAUAGCGAACAAGUACCGUGAGGGAAAGAUGAAAAGAACUUUGGAAAGAGAGUUAAACAGUACGUGAAAUUGCUGAAAGGGAAACGCUUGAGGUCAGUCGCGUCGGCCGGGGAUCAACCUUGCUUCUCGCUGGGUGUAUUUCCUGGUCGACGGGUCAGCAUCAGUUUCGAUCGCCGUACAAGGGCGGAGGGAACGUGGCACUCUUCGGAGUGUGUUAUAGCCUUUCGUCGUAUGCGGUGGCUGGGACUGAGGAACUCAGCACGACCCCCUCGAGGGUUUCGGGGCUUCGGCCUACGUACGUGCUUAGGAUGCUGGCAUAAUGGCCUUAAGCGACCCGUCUUGAAACACGGACCAAGGAGUCUAACAUGCCUGCGAGUGGUUUGGGUGGAAAACUCGAACGCGUAACGAAAGUGAAAGUCGAGACCUCUGUCGUGGANGGCAUCGACGCCCGGACCCUGAGUCUUUGACGACGGAUCUGCGGUAGAGCAUGAUGUUGGGACCCGAAAGAUGGUGAACUAUGCCUGAAUAGGGUGAAGCCAGAGGAAACUCUGGUGGAGGCUCGUAGCGAUUCUGACGUGCAAAUCGAUCGUCGAAUUUGGG
rnacentral:rRNA from 1 species